rnacentral:lncRNA from 1 species
CAGGGCCAGCAGCGUCCCCAGCGCCACAUGGGGUGGUGUCCAGGGGGGGUGCUUUGAACUUGAUUUUGUGUUUAUCACGGAAUGUGUGUGUGUGUGUUAAUUUUUUCUUUUUCUUUUUUUUUUUUUUUUUUUUUUCUGAGAAGGAGGGNNNNNNNNNNNNCACCCAGGCUGGAGUGCAGUGGUAUGAUCUCAGCUCACAACCUCCACCUCCCAGGUUCAAGCGAUUCUCCUGCCCCUGCCUCCCGAGUAGCUGGGACUACAGGCGCCCGCCACCACGCCCGGGUAAUUUUUGUAUUUCUCAUAGAGAUGGGGUUUCACCAUCUUCGUCAGGCUGGUCUUGAACUCCUGACCUCAAGUGAUCCAGCCGCCUCGGCCUCCCAAAGUGCUGCGAUUACAGGCGGGAGCCACGCACCCGGCCUAUUUUUUCUCUUUUUUCUUUUUUUUUGAGACAGAAUCUCGCUCUGCAGUGCUGUGGUGCGAUCUCAGCUCACUGCAACCUCUGCCUCCCGGAUUCAAACGAUUCUCCUCUCUUAGCCUCCCGAGAGGAUUGCU